rnacentral:lncRNA from 1 species
UGACGCCACGAUCUCCUUGGUGACCUUCCUGCAUCUGCAUCUGUUGGAAGUGUUGGAGGGCUUUCCAGUCUUGUCUGUUUUUUCCCUUUCAAUCCCUUCUCCUGCUACCCUCCCUCACUCUCUGCCCUAGAAUGUGCCAUUCUUCUUCCCUCUUCAGGACCUUUGCCUGCACAGUUCCCUCUGCCUCAGCUCCACUCCACUCUACCCGGCCCCCGUUUCUAUAAUAGAUGUUAAUGUUUCUCAGCUCAGAUGCUACUUCCUUUUCACCCCUUAAGGGAAGGAGUGUGGGGUUUAGGGCUCAUUGAACACUGCUUUCCCCCCAAAAUAUCCUCCACAAAUCGUGUCCUUUAAGAUGAUUCAUCCUUGCAUCAAAAGUUCCUUUGAUUUUUUUUUUUUUUGUGUGUGUGAGAUACUGGGGAUUGAACCCAGGGGUGUUCUGUCACUGAGUUAUGUCCCCAGCCCUUUUGUAUUUUUAAUUUUGAGUAUAAAGUCUUUUUGAGGUUGGCUUUGGACUUAUCCUCCUACCCUAGCCCCCCAAGAUGCUGGGAUUACAGGCAUGUGCCAUCACACCAGCCCUGUUACCUUUUUUUUAAAAAAUUUUUUAGUUGUAGAUAGACAUAAUACCUUUAUUUAUUUUUAUGUGGUGCUUAGGUUCAAACCCAGUGCCUCACAUGUGCUAGGCAAGUGCUCUACCACUGAGCCCCAGGGCUGUUACCUUUUUAUACACAUGAUGUGGUGAGGGGGUUCAGGAUUUGUAGAAUGAAUUAUUAGACAUUUCCUGUUCCCUGGUUUUGUUCUGGUGUAUAUCACAUUCCUACUCUAGGGUGGAUUUUGGUUUGCUAGGACAGCUAGUGUGGGGUAUUUCCAAGGGACCAUCAUUGUUUAGGUUAGACACAUUACUAAAGCUGACUGAUCAGAAGGAAAGGCCUAAAAUUCCUGGGCUGUCUCACUGGAUGUAAACCAGAAAGGAAGCUGUAAUGUUUCUGCUGACACUUGUUUGAUGACCACAAAGGGGGUUAGCCUCGGCGUGAAGCAGAUGCUCUGGACAGAGGUCAGUGCAGAAGAACAAGAACCUGAAUUGCAGAUACUGUCAAGUUAUUGAAUCAAGCAAGCCUGGAUCCUGCCCUGCACUCUGGACUUUCCAGCUAUUGGUUUAAUGAGUUGGAGUCAGAGCUUUAUUUAUUUAUUUAUUUAUUUUUGCAAUAGAGUUGUUUCGUAGCUGCAUUGCUGCCCUAUCCCAAAAAUCAGUCUAAUUUCAGAUUGUAGCCCCUUCCCCAUUCUCGUGUUCCUCAUUGCUUUGAACUCUCCUUGCCCCCCCCACCCACUCUUCUUUUUUUUUGCAGUAUUAGGAUUGAAUCCUGCUGAGCACUGUACCAUUGAGCUUACCCCCAGCCCUAAUUUUAACUCUUUUAUUACUGAUGCUUAUAGGUCAACUUAUCUAUUAGUCACAGUAGGUUCAGUGCCUCAUUUUCUCAAAAAUAUUUUAAUUUUAAUUUCUUUUAAUAAUCACAAUGUAAAAAAUAUAAUAAGUAUAAUAAGUCAGUUAUAGUGGUACAGAACUGUAAUCCCAACCCCUUGGGAGACUGAGGUGGGAUUAUCAUUUGAGCCCAGGAGUUUAAGAGCAGCCUGGACAACACAGCAAGAACAAAACACCAUCCGAAAACAGGUCCCCCCCCCCCCAAAUAUACAAUAACGUAUUUGGUUGGGAUUAUAUUCAUCAUUAUAC